rnacentral:rRNA from 1 species
AGGACGAACGCUGGCGGCGUGCUUAACACAUGCAAGUCGAGCGGUAAGGCCUUUCGGGGUACACGAGCGGCGAACGGGUGAGUAACACGUGGGUGAUCUGCCCUGCACUUCGGGAUAAGCCUGGGAAACUGGGUCUAAUACCGGAUAUGACCUCAGGUUGCAUGACUUGGGGUGGAAAGAUUUAUCGGUGCAGGAUGGGCCCGCGGCCUAUCAGCUUGUUGGUGGGGUAAUGGCCUACCAAGGCGACGACGGGUAGCCGACCUGAGAGGGUGACCGGCCACACUGGGACUGAGACACGGCCCAGACUCCUACGGGAGGCAGCAGUGGGGAAUAUUGCACAAUGGGCGAAAGCCUGAUGCAGCGACGCCGCGUGAGGGAUGGACGGCCUGCGGGUUGUAAACCUCUUUCAGCAGGGACGAAGCGCAAGUGACGGUACCUGCAGAAGAAGCACCGGCUAACACGUGCCAGCAGCCGC